rnacentral:tRNA from 1 species
GGAGAGGUGGCUGAGUGGUUGAAAGCACCGGUUUCGAAAACCGACAUAUCGCAAGGUAUCGCGAGUUCGAAUCUCGCCCUCUCCGCCA